rnacentral:rRNA from 1 species
UACGUAGGGGACAAGCGUUGUCCGGAAUUAUUGGGCGUAAAGCGCGUGUAGGCGGCUUUGCAAGUCGGGUGUGAAAGCCCUCAGCUCAACUGAGGAAGUGCGCCCGAAACUGCAGAGCUUGAGUGCCGGAGAGGGUGGCGGAAUUCCCCAAGUAGAGGUGAAAUUCGUAGAUAUGGGGAGGAACACCGGUGGCGAAGGCGGCCACCUGGACGGUAACUGACGCUGAGACGCGAAAGCGUGGGGAGCAAACAGG